CCUACGGGAGGCUGCAGUGAGGACUAUUGGUCAAUGGCCGGAAGGCUGAACCAGCCAAGCCGCGUGAAGGACGAAGGUGCCAAGCAUUUUAAACUUCUUUUGUCAAGGGACAACAUCAGGCUCGAGAGCCUGACCGAGGGUCCUUGAAGAAAAAGCAUCGGCUAACUCCGUGCCAGCAGCCGCGGUAAUACGGAGGAUGCGAUUGUUAUCCGGAUUUAUGGGGUUUAAAGGGUGCGUAGGCGGGCUGUUAAGUCAGCGGUAAAAGCCCGGGGCUCAACCCCGGCGAGCCGUUGAAACUGGCUGUCUUGAGAUGUCGAGAGGUAUGCGGAAUGCGCAGUGUAGCGGUGAAAUGCUUAGAUAUUGCGCAGAACUCCGAUUGCGAAGGCAGCAUACCGGCGGCGAUCUGACGCUGAGGCACGAAAGCGUGGGUAUCGAACAGGAUUAGAUACCCGAGUAGUC
rnacentral:rRNA from 1 species